rnacentral:lncRNA from 1 species
AGGGUGUCGGGCCUCUACGGUAGGUCCACUCGAAGCACUGUGCUGAUCGAUCUCUCGAGAGUGCUAGCUCGCAUGAAGACCUUCUGGAUGGCUGAUCUACUCCUCUCUUCGAAUCUCUCAGACUCUUCCAGAGCUGAAGAUAGAAUAUGAAGGAGGAUAUGGUGAUAGUAGAAGACAAAGAUGAGAACUCUCUUCUCUUUUUUCUCUCUUCUCAAAACCCUAGAAUUAGAUCUAGGUUUUUCACUCACCCAA